CGGGACGGGUGAGUAAUGUCUGUGAAACUGCCUGAUGGAGGGGGAUAACUACUGGAAACGGUAGCUAAUACCGCAUAACGUCGCAAGACCAAAGAGGGGGACCUUCGGGCCUCUUGCCAUCGGAUGUGCCCAGAUGGGAUUAGCUAGUAGGUGGGGUAAAGGCUCACCUAGGCGACGAUCCCUAGCUGGUCUGAGAGGAUGACCAGCCACACUGGAACUGAGACACGGUCCAG
rnacentral:rRNA from 1 species